UACGUAGGGGGCGAGCGUUGUCCGGAGUUACUGGGCGUAAAGGGCGCGUAGGCGGUUGGGUCAGUUUCCCAUGACAGUGCCGGGCUUAACCCGGCAAGGUUUGGCGAAAGACGGCCUGACUUGAGGGCCAGAGAGGGACAUAGAAUUCCGGGUGGAGUGGUGAAAUGCGUAGAUAUCCGGAGGAAUACCAAAGGCGAAGGCAGUGUCCUGGCUGGCAACUGACGCUGAGGCGCGAAAGCUAGGGGAGCGAACAGG
rnacentral:rRNA from 2 species